UGCCGGGUAGCUUAACGGUCAAGCGCCCGUCCGUCAAACGGGGCGAUGUGGGUUCGAAUCCCGCCCCGGCAG
rnacentral:tRNA from 1 species